UGCCCCCAUCGUCUAGUGGCCUAGGACAGCUCCCUUUCACGGAGCAGACAGGGAUUCGAGUUCCCUUGGGGGUAU
rnacentral:tRNA from 1 species